UACGUAGGGCGCAAGCGUUGUCCGGAAUUAUUGGGCGUAAAGAGCUCGUAGGCGGUCUGUUGCGUCCGCUGUGAAAACUCGGGGCUUAACCCCGAGCCUGCAGUGGAUACGGGCAGACUAGAGGUAGGUAGGGGAGAAUGGAAUUCCCGGUGUAGUGGUGAAAUGCGUAGAUAUCGGGAGGAACACCAGUGGCGAAGGCGACUACCUGGCCUAGUUCUUGACGCUGAGGCGCGAAAGCUAGGGGAGCAAACGGG
rnacentral:rRNA from 1 species